rnacentral:rRNA from 1 species
CACAAUGGACGCAAGUCUGAUGGAGCAACGCCGCGUGAGUGAAGAAGGGUUUCGGCUCGUAAAGCUCUGUUGUUAAAGAAGAACGUGGGUAAGAGUAACUGUUUACCCAGUGACGGUAUUUAACCAGAAAGCCACGGCUAACUACGUGCCAGCAGCCGCGGUAAUACGUAGGUGGCAAGCGUUAUCCGGAUUUAUUGGGCGUAAAGCGAGCGCAGGCGGUCUUUUAAGUCUAAUGUGAAAGCCUUCGGCUCAACCGAAGAAGUGCAUUGGAAACUGGGAGACUUGAGUGCAGAAGAGGACAGUGGAACUCCAUGUGUAGCGGUGAAAUGCGUAGAUAUAUGGAAGAACACCAGUGGCGAAGGCGGCUGUCUGGUCUGCAACUGACGCUGAGGCUCGAAAGCAUGGGUAGCGAACAGGAUUAGAUACCCUGGUAGUCCAUGCCGUAAACGAUGAUUACUAAGUGUUGGAGGGUUUCCGCCCUUCAGUGCUGCAGCUAACGCAUUAAGUAAUCCGCCUGGGGAGUACGACCGCAAGGUUGAAACUCAAAAGAAUUGACGGGGGCCCGCACAAGCGGUGGAGCAUGUGGUUUAAUUCGAAGCUACGCGAAGAACCUUACCAGGUCUUGACAUCUUCUGACAGUCUAAGAGAUUAGAGGUUCCCUUCUGGGACACAA